rnacentral:lncRNA from 1 species
GGAGUUCAAGGCAAUAGUCAGUUCUUCUGAAGAUCUUCAGUCUAUGACUUGAAGGCAUUCCCCUACCUAAAAUUCCAGCGAAACAUUGCAGAAGUCAUAUGCCAGCUGCUCACUCACCAAAUUUAUCUCCUUUUCCUAGCUCUUUUGUGACAUUGAACAUUCCCACCAAGGCCCAGCUCCUUGGCCUGAACCCAUCUGGUGUGAGUUUCUGGAAGCAGAGGAACCUACAGGUUGAACUCUUCACUGGUGACAGGAACCAAGGACCAGAGCCACUGGGAGCUUUGUGUCUGCGCUGUCCCUUAUUGGGUUCCCUGGCUUCCCUGCUCACCAGGGAACAAUGCUUCUCAUUCACUGUUCAGAGUCAACAGAUUAGAAUGGGUGUCCGACAAAAGCCAGGCCCUGUGCUGGUCUAGUUCUAAGGGACCUUUUAUGAUGAGGCCUUUGUGCUUCUAGGACCAACGUACAUUUAGAGUUUGAACAAAGAAAUGAUGUACCUGCACUAACGGGAUUUCCAUAGGGUGUAAACAAGCCCCAAACAGCCCUCCCCAGUAAAAUAAAUAAUAGCAUGAUAUAUCUAAGGAUUCUUUUCUGUGCUAUUCCUAUUAGAACAGAAAACAAAGAACUGUGUAGACGGCCAGAGAACAGUAGGACAUCUGUUCUGGUGGGGCCAGCCAUCUCUGCAAUCCCUUGGAAAGAAAAACACUGAUGAUAAUUUUCAAGACGUGCUUCAAAAGCGUUCAAAUGGGUGAAAUCCUGGACGUACCUGGGAGUCUGAACCACACUGGGGAACCACAGACAGUCCAUCCUAUCUUCUUUCCCAUCAUGUUUUACCCAGUGUUUCCACAACUGUGAUGCCAACAGCGAGUUUCAGUAACUCAGAGUGAUGCUCUUUUGAAUCUAGUAGAUAUUUUUAAAAAUGAAAUUAAAAUAUUUAAAUGACAUACUCUCAUUCCAUUAUAUGGAGAUUGUAUUAACCACGUGACCCAGAUAUCCACUUAUAUUACAUAAAAUGUCUUGCUUUAGAGACAAUAUCAGUAUGGAUAGCAUCAAAAAAUAGCAAAAGCAAAUGUGUAACUAGGUUUGCAUGACCAGAAUUUAGGAGGUAGAGGUCUAUCCUAAGUCUUGGAUGCACUGACACUUGACUUUAAGCCAACACAAUUACUGUUAUGGUAUCAUAUAUUAAAAUAUUCUCAAUAAACACCUGGCUUAAAGCCCCAGCUAUGUGGUCUUGCUUAAGUAUUUUACUUGUACA